rnacentral:tRNA from 1 species
GCCCGGAUGGUGGAAUUGGUAGACACAAGGGACUUAAAAUCCCUCAACCGCAAGGUUGUGCCGGUUCAAGUCCGGCUCCGGGUACCA